rnacentral:rRNA from 1 species
GACGAACGCCGGCGGCGUGCCUAAUACAUGCAAGUAGAACGCUGAAGGAGGAGCUUGCUUCUCUGGAUGAGUUGCGAACGGGUGAGUAACGCGUAGGUAACCUGCCUGGUAGCGGGGGAUAACUAUUGGAAACGAUAGCUAAUACCGCAUAAUAGUAGAUGUUGCAUGACAUUUGCUUAAAAGGUGCAAUUGCAUCACUACCAGAUGGACCUGCGUUGUAUUAGCUAGUUGGUGGGGUAACGGCUCACCAAGGCGACGAUACAUAGCCGACCUGAGAGGGUGAUCGGCCACACUGGGACUGAGACACGGCCCAGACUCCUACGGGAGGCAGCAGUAGGGAAUCUUCGGCAAUGGACGGAAGUCUGACCGAGCAACGCCGCGUGAGUGAAGAAGGUUUUCGGAUCGUAAAGCUCUGUUGUAAGAGAAGAACGAGUGUGAGAGUGGAAAGUUCACACUGUGA